rnacentral:rRNA from 1 species
UACGUAGGGGGCUAGCGUUGUCCGGAUUUAUUGGGCGUAAAGAGCGUGUAGGCGGCCAUGUAGGUCCGGUGUGAAAACUCGAGGCUUAACCUCGAGAUGUCAUCGGAAACCAUUUGGCUAGAGUCCGGAAGAGGAGAGUGGAAUUCCUGGUGUAGCGGUGAAAUGCGUAGAUAUCGGGAGGAACACCUGUGGCGAAAGCGGCGCACUGGACCAUAACUGACGCUGAGGCGCGAAAGCUAGGGGAGCAAACAGG